GCCUGGCCGGCUCAGUGGGUGGAGCAGGAGACUCGUGAUCUCAGGGUUGUGAGUUCAAGCCCCAUGCUGGGUG
rfam:Felis catus isolate Cinnamon breed Abyssinian chromosome C1, whole genome shotgun sequence.